AAAUAGGAAGGUAAAAAGGGUUAUGUAAACCCUAAAAUUUUUACUUCUUACCUCUUCUUCCUUUCGAGCAGCGGCUUCUUCGGCUCCUCCAUCAUCCGUCAUCUGCAGAGCACCGGCCACCACCCCCGUCACUCGCGGUAGAGGUAGCACGACGCCGGGACUUACGACGCGAGGACGAAGACUGCCGGUCCGAACGGCUCGAUUCGGAACAAGGAAGAGUACUCCCACGGUGCCAAUGCUGGCUUGAAGAUCGCUCUUGAUUUCUGUGCUAGCAGGAGUUGUUGCAGUAGAAGUCACUGGAGGUCCCACUGUCGACUUUGUUCCCGGAAGAAAGGAUUUAAAAGUUUCUCCAAACGAAGGAAGACUUCCAGAUGCUAAUCAAGGUAUUCUGUUGUGUCAACUUUCCCUUUGUUGUUUGGCCUCCCUUCAUUUCCCUCCAUCCCUCCCUCCAAAUAUUAUGGGCCACUGUGCUUCUUAUUGCUCCAGGCAAAACGUUAAAUAGCUAUUUAUUGUUUUCCUUAAGGUUGCUGCCUGUUAAUCUUGAAAUGUAUGUCCAUCUCAUCUGAAUGUCAAUUAGUAAG